CGGGGAGCGUUCGCGCUUCCGCCGGCGACCGGCGCACGGGUGAGUAACACGUAUGGAACCUGCCCGCAGCAGGGGGAUAAUCGGGGGAAACCCCGUCUAAUACCGCGUAACGACCCGGAGGGGCAUCCCUUCGGGUCCAAAGGUUUACCGGCUGCGGAUGGCCAUGCGUCGCAUUAGCUUGUUGGCGGGGUAACGGCCCACCAAGGCGACGAUGCGUAGGGGUUCUGAGAGGAAGGUCCCCCACACUGGUACUGAGACACGGACCAGACUCCUACGGGAGGCAGCAG
rnacentral:rRNA from 1 species